GUGGAGACGCUGCCGAGGGAAUGGGCGUGGCCGGGUAGGCUGGGGGCGGGACCAGACGGGAAUGGGCGGGGCCAGGCAGGACAAAUCCCAGUCCCUGUCCCUGGACCCUGUAGAUCCCCUCCACUAUGUCCCCCACCGACCUCGCCCCAGGGGCUGCUCAUGAUUUGGAAGUUGGCAUUGAUGAGGCUGACAAUGGUGAGCAGACGCUCGUCGUCGUAGUCGAAGCGGCUGCCAAAGAUCACGGAGCAGAUAAUGUUGGAGACGGAGCGGCUCAGCACAAACGUGGGGUCGAAGGGCUCGCCUGAGGGUGAAGGGUGGGGAGGGUCAGAGGGCACCACACACCGCAGGCCCCACACAGCAACACUAGUUCCUGCGACAUCCAACCUAAGCGUGACGUGAGUUUGCCGCACAGAACACACACACAUCCCCACCCGACACGCAGCCCAACAACACCCCAAGCGUUUUUGGCCAUACAACAGACAGCCUGGAACUUAACAACAUCCCACAGCACAUGGACACCAACAAUAGCCAACAAAGGAACACUUUAUUUUUGGCAACACGACACACAGCACAAGAAGACAGGGCAAUCAUCAGGCAUCACAGAAGGCAUAGCAACAUGCAACAGCAAAUCACACAGCAAUUAUGUCCACAUACGUGGCAACAUGCAGCAACACUCAGUGACUAACAGUCAGCCCCCAAACCUCCUAAGGACAUGGUAACACUCUACAUGGUACACUGACAUAUAAUACCAACAUAUAGCGACAUCAGUCCUACAACACGCAAGGAUAAUACACAGCAACCCAGCAGGCAGCAGAAAACACACAAUGCUGCAAGGCAGAGGACCAGAUGGCACACAAAUAAUUUAUAGCAAUGCACAGCAGACAACACACAUACAAUAUCACAUGCAGUGCCUGACAACACUAUAACCUCACCCAACAAUAACUCACAGCAACACAACACCUAAUACUCAGUGGUCCAACAGCUGAAUAAGACCACAGAAAACAGUACCAAAACAACACAUUCCAACACAUCAGCCAAGCCCCAGUAGGCCGGCCCACAAAACUGAUUCUGCAGUUAGAAAGACAUAGUUUGAACCCCAGCUUGGCCUCUUAGCCAACUCACUUCCCUUCUCUGAGCCUCGGUUUUCUUAUCUGUAAAACGGGCUUGAUGAUAGUUCUCUCCUCCUGGGGCUGUUGUAAGGACUCAGUGGGUAUGUUGCUGGGACGUGCUUAGCUGAGGGCCUGGCCAAUUGUGAGCCUGUUCCAAACCAGGGUGGUGGGGUAGCUGAAUAAUGGCCCCCCAAAUAUGUCCAUGUCCUAAUUCCCAGAACCUGUGAAUAUGUUACUUUAUAUUCUAAAAGAGACUUUGCAGGUGUGAUUAUGUUAAGGGUCUAGAGAUGGGGAAGAUUACGCUGGAUUGUCCUAGUGGGUCCAGUGUAAUCACAAGGAUUCCUAUAAGAGGGAGGCAGGAGGGUCAGAGUGAGAAAGGAUGAUGUGAUGAUGGAAGCAGAGAAAGAGAAAGAUUGGAGGGUGCUAUGUUGCUGGCUUGGAAGAUGGACCCAUGAGCCAAGGAAUGGCGAUGGUCUCUAGAAGCUGGAGUAGUCAAGGAUUGGGCAAGGCAAGGAAAUGGAUUCUGCCCUAGAGUCUCCAGAAGAAAUGCAGCCCCGCUGAUCCAUUGUAGACUUCUGAGAACAGAACUGUAAGAGCAUGAUUUUGCUUUGUUUUAAGCCAUUGAGUUUAUGGCAAUUUGUUACAGUAGCAACAGGAAACGAAUACAGGCAUUUGUUAUGUUUUCAUACAAACAGCUUCAUUUGCUACAUUUUUUUUUCUUCCAAAGCCACAAUAUUUGGAAAUCAGGGCGGAGGACUGAUAACCUGUCUGUGCCUCAGUGUCCUCUCCCAUAAAAUAGGCCUUAUAAUAGGACCUCUUUCUUAGGUUUUGGUGAUUUUUAAGGAGUUGGCACACACAAAGCUCUCGGAACAGUGCUGGCAUGUGGUAGGCAACACGGAAGUGUUGGCUACUUCUGUUAACUUGUUUUCUUGGGUUGGCAGCCUUGAUUUGGGUUUGUACCUCAGCGCUGCCACUUCCUGGCUAUGUGGCCUUGGGCACAUGACUCAACCUUUUUUGGGACAAAACUAGUUAGCGCAUGUGAAGAGUAUUUAGCAUAGGGCCCGGGAUAGAGUAAGCACUCAGUGAAGGGGCUUUCGUGUGUUGAGUGUGGAAUUUGGUGUCAGUUAGAUGUGGAUUUAAAUCCUGCCUCCACUCACUAGCUUUGUUACUUAACCUCUUUGUGCCUCCGUUUCCUCAUCUGCAAAAUGGACUGUUCCCUGGCCAAUGCAUGAAAAUGUGCUUUCACGGUUCCCAAAUGUGGUGAGUUCUCAAAGCAUCACCACCAUCAUCAUCAUCCCCCACAAUUACACAAGGAUGAUAGGGCACCAUCACUGUGCCACCACCACAUAACAUAUCCAGCCACUGUGCCUUAAGGAAACAGCACCACAAGCCGGUCUGCCUUAGCGGCGCCAUUCCCACUGUGAGCUAAGCGAAGGAGCUCUGGGAGGUGUAAGUGCAGCCCUGACCACUAGGGCAGACGGACGUGAACUAGAGGGCAUGGGAUGCACCCGGGGACCCUGACCUUCCAUUUUUCGCAGCUCCGCCAGCAGGAAUUUGCCUUCUUCCAGAAUCCGCUCCUCGAUGCUUCUCUUCCCCAUGCCGAAGUUCCGCAGAAUCUGGACGGAAAACCUCCUCAAGGCCUUCCACCGGUCCCCAUUGGAGAAGGCAAUGCCUGGAAGGAGAAGAGAAUGGGGCCGGCUCAACCAAUAAAACCAGAAGCCCUCCCUGACCCUCCAGGCUGGGUCAGGUGCCUCCUUUUAGCUUCCGAAGGACCCCGGACACCCCUCAUCUCAGCCCUGAUCACUCUGGUGUUUGGGCUGCAUCUUUCACUGGACUGGGAGCUACAAUAGGAUGUUUUCUGUGCAAAGGUAGCAAGGUGACCUGAAGUAUCCUCUCUCCGUCUCCUAGCAUCAGGAGAACCUGAUAGGUGAGAUCAUAAGGUUGAGCCCCGGAAAGGGGACAUGAAAAGUGCAAAGUGUCCUCAAUAUGCAAUAGGUGGUAUUUUGCAAGAGCUCUCGGAGUCCAAAUCCUGGGGCAACUGGGACCCAUCUAGUGAAGGGGUCAGAGGAAGCCCUAAGAUUCCUUAGGGGGAGAAGAUAGACUGGGUUGCAGAUCUCCAGGACCUCCUUUUCAAUCAGAGUUUGUUUGUUUGUUUUGGGUCAUUUAUUGGAACUCAUCACAUUGAUUUCCUUUGAAUAAGAAGACAUUUAUGUUAAAAAAAAAAAGUUUGAAAACCACAAAGACAAGGUGAUUUCCAAACCUAAGGAGGAGAGGAUAUUGGGUAAUUGGGCUCGUGUUGAGUGUGACAGUUGGGUUAGGGGUUUGAGAUGGGAGAGAUUUGGAGUUGAUACAAAUUGCUAGGUAGGUG